rnacentral:misc_RNA from 1 species
GAUGAAGAACGUAGUGAAAUGCGAUAAGUAAUGUGAAUUGCAGAAUUCAGUGAAUCAUCGAAUCUUUGAACGCACAUUGCGCCCGCCAGUAUUCUGGCGGGCAUGCCUGUUCGAGCAUCAUUACAACCCUCAGGCCCCCGGGCCUGGCGUUGGGGAUCGGCGAGGCGCCCCCCGCGGGCACGCGCCGUCCCCCAAAUACAGUGGCGGUCCCGCCGCAGCUUCCAUUGCGUAGUAGCUAACACCUCGCAACUGGAGAGCGGCGCGGCCAUGCCGUAAAACACCCAACUUCUGAAUGUUGACCUCGAAUCAGGUAGGAAUACCCGCUGAACUUAAGCAUAUCAAUAAGCGGAGGA